UGCUAGCAAUCAGCGAGAUUCCGUGGGC
rnacentral:piRNA from 1 species